GACGAACGCUGGCGGCGUGCUUAACACAUGCAAGUCGAGCGGUAAGGCCCUUUCGGGGUACGACGAGCGGCGAACGGGUAGGAGUAACACGUGGGUGGACCUCGCCCUCCAGCUCUGGGAGUAAGCCGUCGGGAAACCGGGGUACCGUAAUAACUGGAUAUGACUCCAUGACGCAUGUUGGUGGGGUGGGAAAGACCUUGUGCGGCUGAGGAGUGGGCCCGGCCGGCCUAUCAGCUUGUUGGGUGGGGUGANGGCCUACCAAGGCGACGACGGGUAGCCGGCCUGAGAGGGCGACCGGCCACACUGGGACUGAGACACGGCCC
rnacentral:rRNA from 1 species